AGUGUCUCCCUUCAGGGUUGUAUGCUUCCCAGGAGAGUAAGGAAAAGUAAGACAUACUCAAGUGUGGGAACAAUCACAUGGAGGGAGAGUAAUUCCUGCCCAAGGUAAACAGCCCCUGGGAUUAACUACAUAAGACAUACACAAGAUGAUGCCAGUUACAAAUUCCAGCAAGAAUACGGAAGGAACUACAGAGGCCUCAGCCCAAGCUAAGGAGCUUUUGGCCAAAGGAGCAAAGCGACAUCAUACAAACUAGAACUCAUCCAUAUGUGGGAACCUUUGUGAAAUUUUCUACCUUUGGUUUGCCAACUAAAUCAGCUUUGAUAUUUGCCCUCCAGAGCAAGGAGACCUACUUCAAAGUUUGCUUCCAGGCUUAUGUUUCACAGUGUUCAUUCUUGCCAGUGAGUUGAACUAAAAGCCAGCUGGCAGUGCAGUACAAACCCUGGAAUAUAUGUCCUUCAUCCUCAAAGGAUAACAAAAAUGGAAAAAGUACAUUUGGGCUGUGUUAGCCAACUCCUAAGUAGAAGUAGACUUACUCUGAUUUGGAAGAUUAACACAGAAGGAAAGAAAACCCAACACCUUCUCAUCCAGUUGCCAAGGGCAACCAGUCUUUUUUGUAAAUUCUGAGUUUCUAUUUACAAUGCAACUUUUUGAAGUGCUACCAGGUAUUUACUGAUUAGUCUUCUUGUCCCAUGACUACAAUGAUAUUGAUGACUUCAAAAACAAAUAUGGAGAAAAGCCAAUAUCAAAAGCUAAUGUGAAAAUAGUAAAUCAGUUUUUCUUAACUUAUAAAGGAGAAAAAUGAAAAAAAAAACCUUUAACAAUACAGCUGUAAAUAGUAAAACUCCAAAAGACAGCAUAAACUAUGAUAGCCCUAAUACUGGUGCCUCAGGAGGAACUGUCUGUAUCCCUUAUGGUGCUGGUUCUGUGAGCUGAAAUAGUUAAGCCAGCUUACAUUGUGAAACACAAUCCUGCUGUAUUGAAGUAUGUUCGUAGAAUUAGUCUGUUUUGUUCACCUCUUGGCCCAGACUAGCAUACAUGCACACAUGUAUGUAAUGUGUGAUUAAUAUGGAUAGCUGCUAGAAAGCCCAUGAGAAACUAGAAUUUAAUUGGUUCCCAAAAUGAAGAAUCCUGAUUUAUGUAAAAUAAUUUUAGAUAUGCAAAAUUUACAGUCACUGAUUCCAUGGUAAUAGUUUUUAAGUUUAUGAAUGAUACCUUGUCUUUCUAUUCCACAAGCAUAACUGCUACUACACAUGGGUAGCUGAAGAGUGUCAGUCAAAACAAAGAAGUGAUGUAUUGCUGAAGGCAAGUUUGUGUUCAACACCAAAGAAAACUGCAAAUGAAAGAUACUUGUCCAUUCAAGCUUUUUUGUCUCUGUACGAGACCACUGUUAGACUACAUCCAUAAUAUACACAAACUGUUUUACUAUUCACAAUUUUCCUUAUCAUUUUCCUAACAAUGCACCUAAAAUCCUCACAAUUCUAUGUUCUAAACUUUGUAUGCUGUUUUCUGAUUGGAAAAAUAUGCCAUUGUAUGUGAAUGAUCAUUUAACUUUUACAUUGUGUCUGUGUUUCCAUCUUUUAAUGCUUACCGUUGGAUCUAUCAUCUGCCUACACAAUAAAAGCUCACUUCUGCUACAUACCAGACCAAUCCA